GACGAACCGUGCGAACGUUGUUCGGAAUCACUGGGCUUAAAGGGCGCGUAGGCGGGCUGCCAAGUCCGUAGGUGAAAUCCCCCGGCUCAACCGGGGAACGGCCUCGGAUACUGGCGGCCUGGAGGGGGGUAGGGGCGUGCGGAACUGUGCGUGGAGCGGUGAAAUGCGUUGAUAUGCACAGGAACUCCGGUGGCGAAGGCGGCGAGCUGGACCCUUUCUGACGCUGAGGCGCGAAAGCCAGGGGAGCGAACGGG
rnacentral:rRNA from 1 species